AUUGAACGCUGGCGGCAUGCCUUACACAUGCAAGUCGAACGGUAACAGGUCUUCGGAUGCUGACGAGUGGCGAACGGGUGAGUAAUACAUCGGAACGUGCCUAGUAGUGGGGGAUAACUACUCGAAAGAGUGGCUAAUACCGCAUGCGAUCUACGGAUGAAAGCAGGGGAUUGCAAGACCUUGUGCUACUAGAGCGGCCGAUGGCAGAUUAGGUAGUUGGUGGGGUAAAAGCUUACCAAGCCGACGAUCUGUAGCUGGUCUGAGAGGACGAUCAGCCACACUGGGACUGAGAAACGGCCCAGACUCCUACGGGAGGCAGCAGUGGGGAAUUUUGGACAAUGGGCGCAAGCCUGAUCCAGCAAUGCCGCGUGCAGGAUGAAGGCCUUCGGGUUGUAAACUGCUUUUGUAUGGAACGAAAAGCCCCGGGUUAAUACCCUGGGGUCAUGACGGUACCGUAAGAAUAAGCACCGGCUAACUACGUGCCAGCCGCCGCAGUAA
rnacentral:rRNA from 1 species